GAGUUUGAUCAUGGCUCAGAAUCAACGCUGGCGGCGUGCCUAACACAUGCAAGUCGAACGAGAAAGGGGCUUCGGCCCUGAGUAAAGUGGCGCACGGGUGAGUAACACGUGACUAACCUACCCUUGAGUGGGGAAUAACUUCGGGAAACCGAGGCUAAUACCGCAUAAUACCUACGGGUCAAAGGAGCAAUUCGCUUAAGGAGGGGGUCGCGGCAGAUUAGUUAGUUGGCGAGGUAAUGGCCCACCAAGACGGUGAUCUGUAUCCGGCCUGAGAGGGCGCACGGACACACUGGAACUGAAACACGGUCCAGACUCCUACGGGAGGCAGCAGUGGGGAAUUUUGCGCAAUGGGGGAAACCCUGACGCAGCAACGCCGCGUGGAGGAUGAAGUCCCUUGGGACGUAAACUCCUUUCGAUCGGGACGAUUAUGACGGUACCGGAAGAAGAAGCCCCGGCUAACUUCGUGCCAGCAGCCGCGGUAAUACG
rnacentral:rRNA from 1 species